rnacentral:piRNA from 1 species
UACAUUGAGAGGUCCCGACUCCCGGAGC